rnacentral:rRNA from 1 species
AUGCCCACUGCCAACUGUGAACACCACAGCGCCGCGGCGGCCGCGUCACGCCGCCGACUCCGCAUCUGCUUCAUCGUCUCCCUCGCCGUACUCCUCCUCCUCCUCGCUGUGGCCGUCGCUGUGCUAGCCAUCACGGCGCUCCGCCCGCACCCGGCCGACACCACCAUCUCUACGAUCCGGCUCACCUCCGUGUCUCUCUCCCCUGGACUCUCCCUCAACGUGACGCUCGACGUCGUCCUCUCCAUCCGCAACCCCAGCCUGGUCGCGUCCUUCGCGCAUGACGCCGGCCACGCUGAGGUCUACUACCAUGGCGCGCUCGUCGCGGACGCCAACGUGCCGCCCGGACGCAUCGGCGCGGGAAGCACCAACGUGGUGACCGUCAGGCUCACGGUGCUCGCUGACCGCCUCGCCGGGUACGCACCUCAGUUGUACGGCGACGUGCUCGGCGGCGCUGGGGACGUGUCGCUCACCAUGCGGACGACCGUGCCGGGGACGGUCACCGUUCUCGGCCUGCUCAGGCACCACGCCGUCGUGCUCACGGUGUGCGAUGUCGUUGUCAACAUGCGGCGCCCCGGCGCACAGAGCUCGUCGUGCCAGUACCGGACAAAGUUCUAG